rnacentral:rRNA from 1 species
ACGGGUGAGUAAUGUCUGGGGAUCUGCCCGAUAGAGGGGGAUAACCACUGGAAACGGUGGCUAAUACCGCAUAACGUCGCAAGACCAAAGAGGGGGACCUUCGGGCCUCUCACUAUCGGAUGAACCCAGAUGGGAUUAGCUAGUAGGCGGGGUAACGGCCCACCUAGGCGACGAUCCCUAGCUGGUCUGAGAGGAUGACCAGCCACACUGGAACUGAGACACGGUCCAGACUCCUACGGGAGGCAGCAGUGGGGAAUAUUGCACAAUGGGCGCAAGCCUGAUGCAGCCAUGCCGCGUGUAUGAAGAAGGCCUUCGGGUUGUAAAGUACUUUCAGCGGGGAGGAAGGCAAUGUGGUUAAUAACCGCGUCGAUUGACGUUACCCGCAGAAGAAGCACCGGCUAACUCCGUGCCAGCAGCCGCGGUAAUACGGAGGGUGCAAGCGUUAAUCGGAAUUACUGGGCGUAAAGCGCACGCAGGCGGUCUGUUAAGUCAGAUGUGAAAUCCCCGGGCUUAACCUGGGAACUGCAUUUGAAACUGGCAGGCUUGAGUCUCGUAGAGGGGGGUAGAAUUCCAGGU